AGAGCGAACGCUGGCGGCAGGCCUAACACAUGCAAGUCGAACGGACCCUUCGGGGUUAGUGGCGGACGGGUGAGUAACACGUGGGAACGUGCCUUUUGGUUCGGAAUAGCUCCUGGAAACGGGUGGUAAUGCCGAAUGUGCCCUUCGGGGGAAAGAUUUAUCGCCAUUAGAGCGGCCCGCGUCUGAUUAGCUAGUUGGUGAGGUAAUGGCUCACCAAGGCGACGAUCAGUAGCUGGUCUGAGAGGAUGACCAGCCACAUUGGGACUGAGACACGGCCCAAACUCCUACGGGAGGCAGCAGUGGGGAAUCUUGCGCAAUGGGCGAAAGCCUGACGCAGCCAUGCCGCGUGAAUGAUGAAGGUCUUAGGAUUGUAAAAUUCUUUACACCGGGACGAUAAUGACGGUACCCGGAGAAGAAGCCCGGCUAACUUCGUGCCAGCAGCCGC
rnacentral:rRNA from 1 species